rnacentral:lncRNA from 1 species
CUUGCUUUUCUUGGAGACAGCCUGUGGAGUCACCCACCAUGCUGGUGGAGCACAAUCGCCACACUGCCAGGCCUGGCAGACACUGCCCCCUGCAGAGCGCCGCGUGGGCAUGCCGUGCUGCUGUGUGGGGCCAGAGUAGGACAGGCCCUCCGCUCUGGCUGGUAAUGCCCCACUCCCGAGCCUCCCCACCCUGUGGGAUGAGCUUUAUUCCCCUCAGCUGUGGUGAGGGCCCCACCAGGCUCUCCAAGGGGCUGUUUGUUGCCCCUGGUAAGUGAAAGGAUUAUCCUCAGUGUUGAUUGUCCAUUUUUGUAAUCCUCCUGCCGUUCUGUUCUGUUGUGUGCUGUGCAACAUUUUGCUACAUAGACUAUUUUAUAGCAGAAAGCUAGAAAAAAUAUUUAUUAUGACUACUAAAGCAAUAGUGUAUCAAUGAAUGGGCGGAGACAUUAGGAAUUGUGUAAAUGCUUAGAUUCACUUUGGGUGGAUUUUUUUGUACUUUAUUUAUAACUAAUAAAAAUGAACUGCAUUGCUAACUACA